rnacentral:rRNA from 1 species
UACGGAGGGGGCUAGCGUUGUUCGGAAUUACUGGGCGUAAAGCGCACGUAGGCGGCCUGCCAAGUUGGGGGUGAAAGCCCGGAGCUCAACUCCGGAAUUGCCUUCAAAACUGGCUGGCUUGAGUCCGGGAGAGGUGAGUGGAAUUCCCAGUGUAGAGGUGAAAUUCGUAGAUAUUGGGAAGAACACCAGUGGCGAAGGCGGCUCACUGGACCGGAACUGACGCUGAGGUGCGAAAGCGUGGGGAGCAAACAGG